ACGGAGGCGGCGGUUGACUGCGUGCUGAUGGAAUAGCACGUUAAAGAGAUGACGUUGGGAGUGUAGUGAAGUACGCACUCUACAGGAGUCUCGAAAGUACUAGAAGCUCGUUAGAGUGGAUAGAUAAUGUCAUUAGUCAUACUUCCAAGAAAAGCUGCUAAGCUAUAGGUUACAGGAACCCGUACCGUAAACCGACACAGGUGGUCGAGGAGAGUAUCCUAAGGUGCACGAGAGAAUCAUGGCUAAGGAACUAGGCAAAAUGGUCUCGUAACUUCGGGAGAAGAGACGCUCCGAGAGGAGCCGCAGUGAAGAGGCCCA
rnacentral:rRNA from 1 species